rnacentral:lncRNA from 1 species
AAAUUCGUAGAUAACAUCAUGCCAAAAAUAUGUAUACUUUCCUACCGAACCUAGCCCAACGUACUACCAUCUCACCCUCACCAAAACACCUACCAUUGCUCCCUCCACUGCGACCUUCGUCAAUCAUCAUCACCUACAGAUCCACUACCACAUACCCCUAUAAAACUCGAAAUCGAAGCUACUGCUCUUGCAUUAUAGCUCAAAAAAUUGGAAGAAAUCUACAGAAGGAAGAAAUUGAAUGCAUUAGAAUUAUAAUUACAGGUAUAUGUCUCAAUUCCAAUAGAUUUUUUUGAAUUUCAUUCAACAAUCGAGAAGAAAGAAGUAAAAUUUGCGUUAAUGGAGGGUUUUCCUUUCCUGAAAGUGGAUAGAAUGAAAGCUUUUGGUAGCACAUCGACUUUGGCCAUAGGGAAAAGAUAUACAAUAAGCAUACCAAGAGGCUAUUAUGUCCUUAGUGCAAGAACUAAUGGGAAAUGAAAAAUACUUCAUAAAUGAACAGUGGAGGAGAAUUUCCUCUUUUAAGAGGGUAGGGAUAAUAAAAGUAGGAAUUUACAAUUUUACAAACAAAAUUUUUAAUUGGCAAUAAUUUUAUUCUUUAUAUAGUUUUCAACGUAAUCAUCCGUUGGAAAAUUCAUUAGUGAAUUAUUUUAUUUGUUUAUUUUUAUAUUUUACCAACGGAUUAGCAACAUACUUUUAUCAACGAAAGACUUUUACUGGUAAUUUUGUUGGUAAUUUAAUAUAUAAUUUUUUAAAAUGAUAAAAUAAUAAUCCAUUGCUAAUUUUUUAUUAAUCCGUUGGUAGUAGCAAUGAAAUAUGUUCGUUGCUAAAAUUUCGCCUCUAUUGCCUCUUUUUCUAGUCUUGGAACACACAAUAGGGAUGUUAUUUCAAUCGCAAAGGCCAAAAAAUUGAUAAGAAAGGCAUAGUAAAGAGAGCACGAAGCAAGUGUCUAUUUUAACUAAAAGGAGAAGACAAAGAAAUAACAUACACAGUUAUAGCCAAAGGGAGGCAGCAUAUAUAAGAUACAAUUAAGGUGUAAUAAUGGGACGAUGCCUAAUAAGUGUUCAAACGCAUUAUUAAGUGGGCCGUUCAUUAUAAGCCAUCUAAAGAGCUAGGAAACAAGCCGUGAGCAACAUUGUUAAAAUAAGGUUACUUCAAAUGGUCCAAAUGUUAUCGAUCCAUCAUCUCCCUUUCUGAAGUAUUCACAACUAUCAUAAUUAUUUAUGAUGAAACCAUGAGUAGUCAUGAAUGAAUCGAACAUUUGUACCACUGCCUUGGUGACUACUUUAAUUUAUACAAGGACUUCUUUAACAAUUACACAUAGUAUUCCUUUCCAAAAAUUAUGAAAACCUUUGGUUGUUGUAUGUAGAUGAUCUCAUCAAGUUCUCCAUCCAAAAAUGCUGUCUUGACAUCCGUCUAUUUAAGUUCCAAGUCAUUCUUUGACACUAUCCCAAGUAAAUUUCAAAUUGAAUUGUGUUUUACAAUUGGGAAGAACACAUUUGUGAUGUCAACACCUAGAAUCUGACAGUAGCCCUUUAUUAUCAAUCUAGCCUUAUUCCUAGCAUUUUCAGUCCUUAAUGUCCAUUCUUUCCUUUUGAACACCAAAUUGCUGCAAACAACCCUUUUAUCCUUUGUUAAUUUCACCAAGUCCCAAGUACAAUUUUUAUUUAAUGACUUCAUCUCUUUCUACAAUUGAUUGCCUCUGUAUAUGUAGACUGCUUCCCCAUUCUUUUGUGGAGGUUUAAUCUGUCUGUGAGGUCUAUCCUUAGCAAUAGAAUAUUGUGGUACUGCUGGAAAUGUAGGCAAAGUAUUUCUAUCUAUCAAUUCUAAACUAGUCUGUUCUGAAAUAGGACUAUUAUUUAACAUUUGAUUGUUUCCUUAACCAAUUUUCAACUCCAUUUGAGUUAAUUGAUUUUGUUUUUCUAGAUUAUUAGAAUUUCCACGAAAUACUACAUCUCUACUAAUUUUUGCCUUUCUUAUCUUAGAACGCCACAAUUUAUAUCUCUUUACACUUGAUUUGUAUCCAAGAAAGACACACUUUCUAGACCUAGGCUCCAACUUCCUAUUAUAUAGAUGAGCAUAAGUAGGGUACACAAAAAUCUUCAAAUCAGUAUAAUAUGAAGGUUUACCAGACCAUACCUCUUCAGGUGUCUUUUUCCCAAUGGCAGUUGAGGAUGAGCGAUUGAUCAGAAAACAAGCUGUAGCGCAGCUUUAGCCUAAAAAUUCUUAGGCAACCCAGAAUUUAAAAGCAAACACCAAACCUUUUCCAUCAAGGUUUUAUUGAUUCCUUCUGCCACACCAUUUUGUUGAGGAGUUCUGGGCACUGUCAAGCGUCAAGAUUCCUUCAGAGCUCCAGAAGCUAUUGAAUUCAUAUGAACAAAACUCCAAACUAGUAUCUGUGCGUAGACGUUUAACCUAAUUUUUAGUCUGCUUUUCAAUCAUUGUUUUCUACUUUUUGAAGGUCCAAACAUAUAACUCUUCUAUUUUAAGAAGAAUACUCAAAUAUUUCGGGAGAAAUCAUCAAUUAUUGCCAACAAGUAAUAAGCAUCUCCUCUUGAAAGUACCCUAGCCGACCCCUAGAGAUCUGAAUGGAUAUAUUCAAGUACUUCCUUCGUGUUGUGUCUACUUGUAGUGAAUUUGACUCUUUUCUAUUUUCCAAAGGCACAAUGCUCAUAGAAUUUCAUCUUAUUGGUCUUCUGUCCUAUUUUACUCAAUUUUGCCAUGUCAUUCUCUCUCUAUGCCCAAGUCACAUAUGCUAAAGUUUAGUAACUUCUUCAUCAGUCAAAUAAAAAGUAGAGACUACUACAUCCCGUGUAACUAUGGAACCCUGCAAAAUGUACAGCUCUGCAGAGUUAUUCUGUCACGUCAUGACAACAAAAGUGCUCCGUCGCCUUCGAAACUCCACCUUCGCCAGUAUACUUAUGACCUUUUGAGUCAAGUGAACUUAAAGAUAUGAGAUUUCACUUAAAUUAUGGAACACCAUCAAACAUUCUAAUUCUGACUAUACUAACUCCAACGUUUUUACACGGCACGUUGUUUCCCAAUAUUACUACACCUCUCGAAACUUUUUUCAUAUGUUGUAAACCAGUCUCUGUUGGGACACAUGAAAGUACAAGCCAACUCAAAAACCCACUCCUCACAAGAUUUGGAAUCCAUGUCAGAUAUCACAAGAGGCUCUAUUUUAGUUUGCGCAUUUUCCACAACAUCAACCUCUGUUGAGCUAAUAGGUUACUUUCUUCUAUCAAUAGCACUAGUAACCUUAUCCAUAUUUUUCAAAGAAUAGCAAUAAGCCCUAAUAUGUCCCUUCUUCUUAUAGUAUUAACACACAUUUCCUGUAUGUUUGAAUUUUGAUAUGCCCCUCAUAAUCCUACCAAAAUUCUUGUUUUGAUUUCUUCCACGAACACCAUGGCCUUUCGCCUGAUUCUUAGGUCCUUCCAGCAAGAUGCCUUAUCUUGGCCUCUUCCAAAAUGAAAGUAUCCCCACUAUAUAGAACAUUAUCUCCAAAAGUCACACAUGAUGGCAAGAGAGAGCACAACAACAUCAACGCCAAGUCCUUCUCAUCAUACUUAGCCUUCAGUGUGUCCAAAUCAACCAUGAUUUCUUUGAAUAUGGUUAAGUGAUCAUCCAAUGACACACUUUCAGACAACCAGUGAGAAUAUAAGUGCUAUUUCAAAUGUAACUUGCUGGUCAAGCUCUUUGUCAUACAAAGUUGCUAUAUAUAUAUAACUCUGAAAACCAAGUUGUAGAUGAAUAGAAAUCCAAAAUGCGUUAAAAUGUGAAAAAUCGAGAAGCAUCGUUGCUCAAGCAGCAUCAAGCAAUAGGGGGCGAGAAGCGGAUGACAAUUCUUUAUUCUAGAUUUGUCGGUUUCGCUCGAGCGAGUAGGUGGCGAAAAACUAGUGAAAAUUCGGCAACAAAUUUCUCGGUCCAUUAAUUUGAUCUACCCAGGACCACUUCGAAUACAACUCCAAUAGAAUUUGGGUCACACUACAACAUAUCUUUAUUCCGAUUUUCCUUUGAUAUGACAUUUUUUAUUCCUUAAAUCCCUUCCAAGACAACUUCAGUUGUGAGACGGAAAGUUUGCUACAGAUUUUGGAAAAAAUGAAACAGUAGAAUUUUUUUCUGUCUCUCAUUUCUUUCAUGUCUUACACUUAUGCUCCCCUUGUUGGUUAAACAACCUGUCUAACCAAUUUUUAGCAGUCAUGCAAGUAUUUUGUUUAAUCACUUAAAUCUAAAUCUACAUUUUAAUUGUGCAUUUCCCUCUUCGUUUUUUGUCUGCUCAACUUACUAAUUGUCAUCUAUAUAUCCUUGUAGUCACUUCUAGCCAAAAUUCACCUUGAAUUAUGCACAUCAGUUGUCUAGUCUUAUCAUACAAGCUUUCAGAUAAGUGAAUUAAGCAAUAUUAAUUAAGCACACAAAACAUGCCUAAUGGGCUAAUUCACGAUAAUUAAAUGUGACGUGUCUAAGCAAGAAUGAUAUGAAAAGUUCUGAUUAGCCUAAUGAAAAUUUCACAGCUUAGGAACAACACUUGCAUUUUUUCGUGAUCUGUUGUCCUGGGUAUACAUCGUCUCCCUCCCUUUCUUAGCAGUCACAUCCAACACGUUAUCUCUUUAUCUAGAUACCCCAAUUACUUUUCUAAUCUAACUUUUCUUUUUCAGGAGUCUUUUUGUUUUUAGAAUACGUACUUGAAGUAAUUUUACCUAAUUUUAUAAUAGCUGUUUUUCCUCAUUCCAAUGAGAAAAUACAGCACAACAAAAAGUUCUAAGUAUAGAAUAAUCACUUAGUUUACUAGACCAUUUUUCAUGAGGAUUAUCGCCAUUCAAUGCAAUAAAUGGAGUCAAAUUAAUCAAAUAACAAGUAGUCAAAACAGCUUUUCCCCACAAUAAUUUUAAGACAUCAGAACUUAACAUCACACUACACAUUUUAUCAAAUAUGGUUCUAUGCACCCUUUCAACUACCACAUUUUGUUGGAGAGUGUGAGGAACAAUCUUAUGCAAUUAUCGGACUUAUUCUUUAAAAGAUAAACCUACGCCUUCUUGUAUAAUCAUCAAUAAUUUACAGGAAAUGAAUGGGGGACAAAAUUGGCAAUUGCCCCCCAAAAAUGAAUAACAGGUACUGUAAAUUUUUUGAAUCGUAUCAAAUAUGGUAGAAUGAACAAAUUUUAAUUCACAUCUCCAACAAUCAUUUUUUGGCUUAAAAUUUUAAAAUAAUCGAUCCCAGACAAGGGCCUAGUGGUUUUCAAUUUACUCACUUUUCUUAAAACUAUAUCAGUUAAAUGUAAAAUGAUUGAAGUGUAAACAAGCCCAUAAGCUUCUUUUUUUUGUUCUUUUGAAAAAUUAAUAGAAAAUUGCUGUUAAUGGUCUUUGAAACCUUUUGUUGAACCAAAAUACCACUCAAUUUUUGUUGCUAGAUUGGAAAAUCAUGUUUUUUUCUUAAAAAUUCCUAAAUCAAAAUUGUGAGUUGUUAUUUUGAAUAAUCAACAAAAAAAAUGCACAAAAUCACAAUUAAGCCACACAAAGCAGACCUAGGGUUGUGAACAAUAUAUAAAGUUUUAGAUUCCUUGGGUUUUGUGAGAUUUGGAUCUCAGUAUUAAGAAAAUGUUCAAACAGGUAACGUUAAGGUAUUCUAAUGAAUUAACGGUUCAAUAGAAAAGAUAUGUCAACCAAAAUAGCUUCACACACAGUAUAUAAUGAAGUUACGAAACUGAUUUUACCACAUGAAUAAUUCAAUCACGUAACAAUUAAGGGCAAAUAGUUCAAAAUUUCUAGCAUAGGCAAUGGUUAUCUCACAUGGUAACCCAAUCCUAGUGUCACCCUGCAUGAUGAUGCACUAGCGUUGGAAAUUAAAUGAGAUAAGUUAACUUACCACGUCGGACCAUGUCUGAAGUCCAUAAAAUCGAGAGAUGGGAAUCUUCUGCUUUAGAGUCACUACUAUUUGCCCUAAAGUUCCAACAAAUGUAUCAACGCAAUUGAUCAAAGAUUGCAAACCAAAUGUCCGAGGACAAAAUUGUUCAAGAUUUAUUUUAUAACUUGAAACACAAAAUUAAAGUUAUCAGUACAUUCAGAAUGAUAAAACGAGAAAACUGUUUGAAUGAAGUUUCUCCAGAUUCUACUACCAUCGUCGUCGACUGCUGUCAACAUCAUACGCUACACACUGCACACCCAGUGGCACUCCACCUACAUAGUGUAGUUCUAGCCUCCGUUUGCCCAAAAGCUUCUUCGUUUAACUAGAAAUCAAGGUUGUGAGUUCGGUUGAUUAUGAAGAAAUAGAAUUUUGGGCGAGUUUUUGGUCGAUUUUGGGUUUGAAGACUUGAACCAAUGCUCUAACUCCAAAUGUUAUGCAGAAGUAAAUACCACUAAGGCUUUUUCUGGGCUCAGUAUAUACUCCAAUCAAUCAAAACCUCAUAUAGGCCGUGUCAUCGAUGAUUAGCAACAGACUUCCGUUGUUAUUUCCAUCGCUAAUUUGAAAUAAAAAUAAAUUGAAUUACUAUUUUAAUUAUUAUUCUCUUGAGAACAUAACAUAUUAAAGUUUAAAAUCAAAAGUAAAUAAAAUAAAUUGCAAUAAGAUGUACAAAAUGACUGAAAAUGAACAUGAAAUUGUAAGCACCUACUACUCUAAGCUUCUUCUAUUUUAGUUUUAAGCUCCAACCUUACAAUUCUUUCGUUCAGGCUAGUGAUGAAUGAACAACAGGACAGGUCAAAAACACAUAUACAAAUAGCUAAAUUAACUAAUUAGUAUAACAAAAUAGUAUACAAUUCGUAGUUGGUACCUAAUGUGAGUUCUUUUUAACGCCAGAACUUAUGUUCAGGUUGAUGACGAAUGAUUGGCAAGGUAGUUCCAAAAAAAUACAAAUAGAUAGGCAAAUGAAUAAAUUAGUAAAAGAAAAUGACGUACACUUUGCAAUUGAUGGCAUAUGUUUUUUUACACCGAAAUUUAUGUUUAGGCUGAUAACAAAUGGUAGCAUGUUUGGUAGGAAUGAUGGAUUGCAUUGGACAAUAUUAUGAAGAAGGGAACUAAAAUUUUGAUAUCAUAAUACCAUCAAAGCCUGUCUAAUAUUGCAUAGAAAACAUCACAUGUCCAAUUCUCCAUCAGACUAAACAAUUAUCAUUUUCCUCAAUGGUUAACACCUUUUUCUACACUCAAAUGAAAAACAAAAUAUGCAAUUUAACUAUUUAUACAUAAAGUUAUAGGAUAAACUGAAGGUCGAUUAUAAAAGCUUGACAAAAUAGAGCAUCAAAUUAGCUUUGACUGAGAACCAGCGAGGACAUUUCACCUUUGAACAUAUACCUUAACAUAUCCAAUCUUCUAUUUUACUUUUCGUGUAUUAUCCACAAAAAAAAAAAAUUCAGAUUCAAUAUUCAACGAAUAAGAAUUUAUUUCAAUGAUAAUUCGAGAAAAAGAAAUGGAAAACUAUUUUAGAGGACAAAAAUUUAUACUUAAUGAAAAAAAUAGAGUUCUGAAAAGAUGAAAAAUGAAAAGGAACUAAAUAGUUAUUGUGAGUUGUAAGCAUAAUAAUAUUGUAACUCUUCAUAUAUUAGGACAAAAACCAUACUACCAUCUUUACCCUCACAAUAAUACAUAGAAAUUCGUAGAUAACAUCAUGCCAAAAAUAUGUAUACUUUCCUACCGAACCUAGCCCAACGUACUACCAUCUCACCCUCACCAAAACACCUACCAUUGCUCCCUCCACUGCGACCUUCGUCAAUCAUCAUCACCUACAGAUCCACUACCACAUACCCCUAUAAAACUCGAAAUCGAAGCUACUGCUCUUGCAUUAUAGCUCAAAAAAUUGGAAGAAAUCUACAGAAGGAAGA